rnacentral:ribozyme from 15 species
CAAAAAUAUCAAUGCAGAGAAAAAAAGAAAAAAUAAAAUGAGUGGAAGGAUAAUGCAUGGAAAAAACAUCACCAUAGUUUGUUUAUUUUUAUUUUUAGUAUUAUUUU